AUUGAACGCUGGCGGCAGGCCUAACACAUGCAAGUCGAGCGGAUGAAGGGAGCUUGCUCCUGGAUUCAGCGGCGGACGGGUGAGUAAUGCCUAGGAAUCUGCCUGGUAGUGGGGGAUAACGUCCGGAAACGGGCGCUAAUACCGCAUACGUCCUGAGGGAGAAAGUGGGGGAUCUUCGGACCUCACGCUAUCAGAUGAGCCUAGGUCGGAUUAGCUAGUUGGUGGGGUAAAGGCCUACCAAGGCGACGAUCCGUAACUGGUCUGAGAGGAUGAUCAGUCACACUGGAACUGAGACACGGUCCAGACUCCUACGGGAGGCAGCAGUAGGGAAUAUUGGACAAUGGGCGAAAGCCUGAUCCAGCCAUGCCGCGUGUGUGAAGAAGGUCUUCGGAUUGUAAAGCACUUUAAGUUGGGAAGAAGGGAAGUAAGUUAAUACCUUGCUGUUUUGACGUUACCAACAGAAUAAGCACCGGCUAACUUCGUG
rnacentral:rRNA from 1 species